rnacentral:rRNA from 1 species
AUUGAACGCUGGCGGCAGGCCUAACACAUGCAAGUCGAACGAGUGGCGGACGGGUGAGUAAUGUCUGGGAACCUGCCCGAUGGAGGGGGAUAACUACUGGAAACGGUAGCUAAUACCGCAUACCAUCGGAUGUGCCCAGAUGGGAUUAGCUAGUAGGUGGGGUAACGGCUCACCUAGGCGACGAUCCCUAGCUGGCCUGAGAGGAUGACCAGCCACACUGGAACUGAGACACGGUCCAGACUCCUACGGGAGGCAGCAGUGGGGAAUAUUGCACAACGGGCGCAGCGUUGAUGCAGCCAUGCCGAGUGUGUGAAGAAUGCUUGCGGGUUGGAAGGUAAAUUCAACGAGGAUGCGUUACGGGUAGAAGAAGCACCGGCUAACGCCGCACCAGCAGCCGCGGUAAUUC